rnacentral:rRNA from 1 species
GACGUAGGGGGCCAGCGUUGCUCGGAAUUACUGGGCGUAAAGGGUUCGUAGGCGGUGCGGCAAGUUGGGAGUGAAAUCUCUGGGCUUAACCCAGAGGCUGCUUCCAAAACUGCCGUGCUAGAGUGCGAGAGAGGCCAGUGGAAUUGCAGGUGUAGCGGUGAAAUGCGUAGAUAUCUGCAGGAACACCGGUGGCGAAGGCGCCACUCUGGGCCGGUACUGACGCUGAGGAGCGAAAGCGUGGGGAGCGAACAGU